rnacentral:rRNA from 1 species
UACGUAGGGAGCAAGCGUUGUCCGGAAUCAUUGGGCGUAAAGCGCGCGUAGGCGGCCCCGUAAGUCCGCUGUGAAAGUCAAAGGCUCAACCUUUGAAAGCCGGUGGAUACUGUGGGGCUAGAGUCCGGAAGAGGCGAGUGGAAUUCCUGGUGUGGCGGUGGAAUGCGCAGAUAUCAGGAGGAACACCAAUAGCGAAGGCAGCUCGCUGGGACGGUACUGACGCUAAGGCGCGAAAGCGUGGGGAGCGAACAGG